UUCCGGUUGAUCCUGCCGGACCCUACUGCUAUCGGGAUGGGACUAAGACAUGCUAGUCGUGCGUCUCCAAGCCAUGGUGGAGACGCGGCACACAGCUCAGUAACACGUGGCUAACCUACCCUUGGGAUGGAAACAUCCCCGGGAAACUGGGGCUAAUUUUCGAUAGGUGAAGACUCCUGGAAAUGGGUCUUCGCUCAAAGGGCGCCUAAACCAUGCUUCUAAGCGCUGCCCAAGGAUGGGGCCGCGGCCGAUCAGGUUGUUGGUGAGGUAACGGCUCACCAAGCCUAUAACCGGUACGGGCCGUGGGAGCGGUAGCCCGGAGAUGGGCACUGAGACAAGGGCCCAGGCCCUACGGGGCGCAGCAGUCGCGAAACCUCCGCAAUACGCGAAAGCGUGACGGGGUCAUCCCGAGUGCCGUCCGCUGAGGAUGGCUUUUCCCCAGUGUAGAUAGCUGGGGGAAUAAGGAGAGGGCAAGUCGGGUGUCAGCCGCCGCGGUAAUACCCGCUCUCCGAGUGGUGGGGACGCUUAUUGGGCCUAAAGCAUCCGUAGCCGGCUGGAUAAGUCCCCUGUUAAAUCCAGCGAUUUAAUCGUUGGACUGCGGGGGAUACUGUCCGGCUAGGGGGCGAGAGAGGCCGACGGUAUUCCCGGGGUAGGGGUGAAAUCCUAUAAUCCCGGGAGGACCACCAGUGGCGAAGGCUGUCGGCUAGAACGCGCCCGACGGUGAGGGAUGAAAGCUGGGGGAGCGAACCGGAUUAGAUACCCGGGUAGUCCCAGCCGUAAACGAUGCAGCUAGGUGUUCGGGUGGCUACGCGCCACUCGAGUGCCGCAGGGAAAGCCGUUAAGCCUGCCGCCUGGGGAGUACGGCUGCAAGGCUGAAACUUAAAGGAAUUGGCGGGGGAGCAC
rnacentral:rRNA from 1 species